GGGAACUAGCAAUAAUAGCAUACACUAAGCAAUAUGGCAUAAUAGACAUAACAGAAACAUGGUGGGAUGAAACAGAUUAUUGGGCAGUUAACUUAAAUGGAUACACAUUAUUUAUGAAGGAUAAAAAAAGGAUAGAAGGAUAGACAGUUUAUUGUAGAAACAGCCAGCAUAUAUAGAUCAUAGCAUACAGUAAAACAUAUUGUACAUACAUUUACACCAAUGGGAAUAAAGGAC